CUGAUUUCAGGGUCCCGAGUUCAAGCCCCAUAUUGGUCAUGGAGCCAACUUAAAAAAAAAAAAUCUCUCUUAAUUCAGGGGUGCCUGCCUGACUCAGAGGACCAUGUGACUCGAUCUUGGGGUUGUGAGUUCACAGCACAUGUUGUGUAUAGGGAUUACUAUAAAAAAUAAAAAGUGAAAUAUCUAAGUGUGUUUUAAAAUAGAAUUUUAAAAUAUUUUAAGUAUUUGUUAAAUAUUGUUUAUGUAGGCUCUUAAUUAACUCUUGCCUAGAUUUUUAUAGUAACCUCCUCACUAGUCACCCUCCCUCCAGAUUUGUUUCUCUUUGUUUUACCUUCUAAGAGAAGCUGCACAUGUUUCUCAGUGGUUUCAAAUUCCUGAGUUCUUUAAUAUUCAUAGCCUCCAAAAUAAAAGUCAGACCACCUUGUGUGACUGACAAGCUCAUCAUAAUGUAUCCCUUCUCUGUCCUUCCCUUUUGCCCUUCCCCAGUAUUUUACCUUGUGUGUCAUUCUUACCAUGGUGCUUUUCUUUGCUACUGAGCUUUACACAUACUAUCUCUGCCUUUAGUGACCUUGACUUACCUUAGACUUCUUUUUUUUAGUAUAUGUGCUGCCGAAGCGAGCACUACCUUAGACUUCUUUAAGGCCUAUCUCUGCCAUUUGCCUCUCCCAGAAGCCAUCCUUGACCUAUUCCAUGGGCUGUAGCCCCACUGCAGUUCCUUUGUGGUCUUCCCCAAUAGACUAAUGACAAGGAUUCUCUCAUUUUUUCAAUUCCAUCAGUCAGUGAAUAUCUUCUAAAUAACUGAAUAAUGUUAACAUUAUCAUAUUGUUGCAACUCCUGAUUUGAGAACUGUAUGUUUGUACAAAUAGUUUAAUAUUUUGACUGUAAUGCAGAUUGUGUUUCUUCUAGUGUUCCACAAUGAUGCAAAAUCCCUUUCUGCACAAGAAAAAAAAAUACACGCACAAAGUGAAUUUUAAUACCUGUAAAAAUUAUUCUUACUAGUUUUUGUUUAUGGUGCUGGCUAUGGAUCCAGUUGACAGAUCUAUCCAGUAGCAUUUAUGAGUGCUACAAAAGAAACAUUUCAUAUAUGAAAUACGUAUGAGUCAGCUCUCGCUGCCGGAACAAAGUAUCAUAGACUGGGUAGCUUAACCAACAGAAAUUGUUUUCUCCUGGUUCUGGAAGCUGGAAGUCUAAGAUCAGGUAAAGUUCUGGAGAGGGCUAUCUUGCUGGUUUGCAGAUGGCCACUUUCUUAACUGUGUCCUCACAUGGCUAGGUGGAGGGAGCGGGGAGGAAUCAAGAGCUCUCUCUUCCUUUUUUUUUUUUGUAAGGCCACAGCCCUAUCAGAUUAGGGCCCUACCCUUAAGAUCCAUUUAACUGUAAUUACCUCCUUAAGACCCCACCUCCACAUAGGCUUCAACACAGAAAUUUGGGGGGAGACACAGUUCAGUCCAUAGCAAAUAGUUAAAAUAUUACAAGGUAUUACUGAUUCAGGGUUUAAAUGACUGCACCAGAGCCAGUGUAACAUUAGAGUUUAGAGUAGUGAGAGCUGUAUGAGUCCAAGUAAUGGAUGGAGAAUUCCUAAGGGAGGUAGAUGUUAAACAGUAAAUCAGGUGUGCAUAAAUAUAGAGAAAUGAGCAAGGCAUUCUACUGGCCGUGUAUGGAUAGUCAUGAUAUGAGCAUGGCAGCUUAUAGAACAUUGAGAAAACCAUGUAGACAUGUAAAAAAAACUUCUCUGUAAAUGUAUACUCCG